rnacentral:rRNA from 1 species
CAGCCGCCACGGUAAUACGUAGGUGGCAAGCGUUGUCCGGAAUUAUUGGGCGUAAAGGGCUCGCAGGCGGUUUCUUAAGUCUGAUGUGAAAGCCCCCGGCUCAACCGGGGAGGGUCAUUGGAAACUGGGAAACUUGAGUGCAGAAGAGGAGAGUGGAAUUCCACGUGUAGCGGUGAAAUGCGUAGAGAUGUGGAGGAACACCAGUGGCGAAGGCGACUCUCUGGUCUGUAACUGACGCUGAGGAGCGAAAGCGUGGGGAGCGAACAGGAUUAGAUACCCCGUAGUCCCUGUCUCUUAUACC